rnacentral:tRNA from 2 species
UGCGGGUGUGGCGGAAUUGGCAGACGCACUAGACUUAGGAUCUAGCGCCUUACGGCGUGGGGGUUCGACUCCCUUCACCCGCAUAUG